rnacentral:misc_RNA from 1 species
ACAAAUUAUUUAGGCCCCUGGCUGCGUCCAAAAGGCGCGAAGGGGGAGAAACCUAAACAUUUGUGUGCACCAUAUCUGUCCUUGGCAGUUCGAGUGUCCCUGGGUUGCGUAACUGCCCCAGGCACCUACUGAUGCUCUCUCUUCGGGGACUGCAAAAGUUGGGCUGCCGCCUUUUUGAACAAACCUUUUGUUUUUUUUCGCCUGAAUUUGUUUGAUCUUUAUGAUUGAAUUUAAAUA